AUUCAGCUGAUGGGUCCCUAAUAGGACGAAACGCGCAUCUUGGAU
rnacentral:hammerhead_ribozyme from 1 species